rnacentral:rRNA from 1 species
GAUGAACGCUGGCGGCGUGCCUAACACAUGCAAGUCGAGCGAAGCGGGGACGGGUGUGUAAAAUGUGGAGAACCUCCCAUAAGACUGGGCGUACUUCGGGGAACCGGAGCUAAACCGGCUUUUUAUCGAGGGAACCACGCGGCAUUAGCUGGUUGGAAAGGUAACGGCUGACAAAGGCAACGUUGUAUAGCCGACCUGGGAGGUGGAUCGGCCACACUGGAACUGAGCCACGGUCCAGACUCCUACGUGAGGCAGCAGUAGGGAAUCUUGCGCAAUGGGCGAAAGCCUGACGGAGCAACGCCGCGUGAGUGAUGAAGGUCUUAGGAUCGUAAAACUCUGUUAGUAGGGAGGCGGUACCUAAUCAGAAAGCCGCGGCUAACUACGUGCCAGCAGCCGCGGUAAUUC